rnacentral:lncRNA from 1 species
UCCCGUUAGGCGGAUGCGUGACGCGUCGUUCGCCUGGGUCACGUGACCGCCUCUUCGUCUUCUGAUUCGUCGAGGCGGAGAGGUUCGUGUCGAUCCGGCGAGUUCGGCUUGGAUCGGCUCUCUUUCAGCCGUGGUGGGGAGAACGGGUCCCCUGCCUCCUCGUCCUCGCCCGGACCAGUUGUCAUUCUGAGACGGACCGUCGACGUCCUCCUGGCUUGCCAAGAAUAAGGAAAGUGGAAGUCUCGACUCAUCCUUGGACGAUCUGAUAAGCAAUCUAACCAUUUUUGCGUAUCGACGUGCGUUUUGUUUUGUGGAGGGCGCCUGGAUUUUCCUUGAAAGAAGGACUAAAACGCGGUAAGUAACGGACCGAUUGGGUUUUGUGGAAACUGCGUUUCACAAGGCGGCCAUCUUGUUUGUUUUGCCCCACUUUUGUUGGGGUGCUUUUUUUUCUUUCGUUUUUCUUUUUCCACUCCGAUGCGACAGCUGCAGCUCUGUUGUGACUGGAAGAAAGGACUUUGGACUUAUGGCGCUUGCAGAGGAUGCAAACCUGUCAGACGGAGUGUUAAAGUCUCGUGAUUUAUCGAUUCGGGGCCUUAAGACUGAAUGUUAGCCGGAGGCCUUUUCCGUAUCGGACAUUAUCAUCCUUGUGAGAUCGGAGCCGCAUUUUGAUUUUUACCUUCUUUUCUUUAAUCUUUUUCCUAAGACGAUAGCUUUACGAAUUUGGUUGUAUGUUCUCUUCCCGACCAGAAGUUGACUGAUGGACAAUGACGAACUCUGUGAUUUCGAAAAUGGUGGACGGGCACGAGAAAGGAGUCAAACAGGUUUUGCAUUCCCCAACGAGGGGCAAAGGAAAACAGUUCUACCCCAAUAACAGCAACACCAACACCGCCGGCAAGAAGGAUUUUCCGUUCCAGAAGCACCAAAAGGCGGCCUACUGCAAGAGCCCGAGGUCGUCUCCGCAGCACGACGUUUUCUCCGAGUUCGGCAACAGGUCACCGCAGCAGAAAGCGAGCAAAUGUUCUCCGUCCAAAGGGGGCAGUGGCCAGCGCAACGUGAGGAGUCCCCGCCUCUCCCCGAACCACGGAGAGCUUUAUGCGGGUUUUAGUGAUUCUCCAGAGCCGACUGCACUCCCACAGCCUCCGUCGCAUUGGAUCUUUCCUAUCCUCGUUGAAGCUCAAGCUUGACGCGUCUGCCGUCGAAACACAACAACCACCAUUCGUAGUAUAAGUCAUUUCACUUGUAUCCGUAUACAAAUUACAAAUUAAUAAACAUAAGAAAAGGGUGAGAUGUACCUAAUUAUAAGGUUUAAGAUUUUUAAUUUUUUAUAAAUAGAAAUUUUAGAGUAUAUUUAUAUAAGAGAAGAGUUGAAAAUAAGAAGAAAUUUUUGAAAAGAGUAAAGCAAUGUAACGGUUUUCCUUUUACAAUUUCGGCCUAUUCCGAAUGUUGACGUAUAAUCACAAUCUCAACUUAGGAUUAAGUCUUUUGUGAUCAUAAAUUGUGAUUAUAAAAUUUACAAAUUUUAAUUAGAAAAAGUUAAAUUUGUUACAUUGUUUUUCUCAUUGUUUUACAAUUCUUUGUACUGUUUACAAAGUGCAAUUUGUUUUUUCUUUUUAAUUUCUGAUAUGAAAAUGGAAAAAAAUAUGGUAAUGAAGCCUUUUGGAUUUUAAAAGUUGCCAGCAUAAUUUACAAACUCAACAAAACAAGUCUUUCAUUUCUGUUUGUUUUCAAAGUUAUAAAGAAGUUACCAAUUUCGAAAAGGAAAUUUCUCUCCGUUUUCACCAUUUUUUUUCUUUCUUUCUAUGUUUAACUUUUAAAACUAAUAGGCUUUAGUAUUUUACCUCCUUUUUUCACCGUACAAAUCCCCCCUCCCCCUUUAUAUUAGUUUUAAUUUGCUGACAAAUCGCUUACAAAAUUUGAAGUGCUAUAACAUGUCACCAAAACACAACCACUAUUUCAUAUUGACAAACAUAUUUUUUUAAAAAUCAGUUUAUAAUGAAAAAACAAAAUGGCAUUGGGAUAAUAGUAAAGUAAAGGAAUCGAUUCAAAAUUAAAAUUUAUUUUGAUUAAAAUUUGGCUAUGGAUUCAAUAUUCUGAAAUGUACUUCAAAAAAUUUACACACCAAUAAUAUGUCUUGCUGUAAUGAAUCAAUUCCUGUACAAUUUAGUUUGUAAGUUGUUCCCAAUUGUUCUUAUUUGGGAAAAAGUUUUUUUUUGUUUGAAUGUUUUUUUCUUUGUACUCACAGAGAAUAAUCACAGAUACUCUUUGUGUUUUGCCAAGAUUAAUGACGUUAUCUUAAGAUGAAGCAUACACAGUUAAAAAAAGGAAAUGAAGUUUUAAGGUAUCUAGUCAUGAAAAAACGUCAUUACCGAAGGUUUAAUAUAAAGUAUACAUUAUGUAAUAGAUAAUAAGUAAAAAUAUUCUGAAUAGAGUUAUUUUUAAUACCUGUGAUUAUUUAAGAGAAAUAAUAAGAAAAAAAUGUAUUGCUAUAAAUGUGAUGUGACAGUUUAGGAUAUAUAUAUGAGAAUGUUUCAAGUCUUUCUGUUAUUACAUCAAAAAUUAACUACUUAUUAAAACCAAGGUUUGUUUAGUUUUAUUUUUUCUUAUUAGUGUACAAUUAGAUUAGUUGUUAGAUGGUAGUUUACAAAAAUUCUUCUCAUCAAAAUUUAUCCGUUCAGGAAAGACUUGAUUGUUGUGUACAAUUUGUAAAAAUAUUGUUUUGUUUUUUUAGCAAGCAUUGAUCUUUUUUGUCUUGAAAAAAAAAAUCUCAUAACGGGACGAUAUUGUGAGUUUUCAAAGGCCAAUUUUUUAAUAAUACCAAGGAGUGCAUAUAAGACUGAUUAUAAAAAUAUCAUUCCAGUUUUAAAUUCAGUGCCGCGAAAUGCCAAACAUUGAAAAGGAAGAACACGAUGACUUAAAUGAACCAAAUUGUGUUAUCGUUUCUUUUUGUACAAAGGAGGAAAAAAGUUGAGAUUGGCCUCUACCCUUUAUAAUGAACAUUAAAAAAUACAUUUUGAAAAGGGUUUUUGCCGAAAGUGUUACUCGGCAUCUUUAUCAACGCAACAAAGUUAAAAGAAAAAAAAAGACUUUUAAAAGACUCAAAAGUCUUCCAUUUAUUUUUUUAAUGGUAUUGUAUAAGUGCAAUAUCUUGAGAAAAUUUCUAUUGAAUGUUCCAAUUGUACCUUAAUAAGUAUAUGUGAAAAAUUGAGUCCAUAUAUAAUAUUCAUUGAUCUCACAAUAACAAAACUCCCUAACAAAUUGAAUUUCUUUCUGUUGUUAUUUGCAAAUGUUUUAAUUCAUUCUCUGUAUUCAGUAUUUUGACUGUUAAAUUUUUAUUUUGUUAAAAAGAUGGUAUACAUUAGUCUAGUCUACAGAUUUUAUUAAGGAAAAACCAAAACAUUCUGUUUUAAAGAAAAAAAGUUAAAAAAGUAAAAAAAAAAUCUCCUUCCCCUUCCUUGAAAUUCAUUCAUUCUGCAUAUUAUUAUCCCCAUUCCUUUGAUCCUUUUCCUUUUUCCCUUUCCUCUCCCACCAAAUGAUCGCAUUUAGCAAGCAAGGUUUGCUCCAUUGGGAGCAUUUUAAUUUUCAGGUUGAACUUCAUUCCCCUCCCCUUUUCCUGAUAAAACACCUUAAUUUUUUUAUUAAUUAUCUUCAGUUUAUACUUGAGCAAGGGUAUUAACUAUGUGAUAUAAUUAAUAAAAUACUCCUUAAUCCUAAUCCUACCUACACAAUCCCCCCCCCAAAAUGAUUGCAUUUAGCAAGCAAGGUUGCUCCUUGAGCCUUUUUAUAUUUUCAGGUUCAACAUUAUAUCAAUGAAAGUUUUAAUUAUUUUAUUUGUUUUACAGAGAAAAGUUCAUGGCUUGGAUGAAAAUAUCUGCAGCAUUUGAUCCAUUCUUGUUACACAAAUUUGUAUUAUACUCUUUGUCAAAUUGUAAAGAAUUUGUUGGAAAACUGGCUGAAUUUUUACCAUAUGGUAUAGUAAAUCUGUCGAUAAUACAAUUGUUUCAGAUAGCAUUCAGUAAAUAAACACAGCGCAGAUAAUCACCAUUGACAAAAAUGCAGCCAGUAAUUUAUUCACUCGAUUACCCAGCAUAAUUAAAUUUUAGAUUUUAUACACUUUUCACACAUCAUUGUUUUCAGUUGUAUACAAUUUAAAAGCAUACAGAAUGUGUACUUCAAAGAAAGUGUGUAUGCGUGUGUGGGUUUUUUUCUUUUAAUUUUUAGAGAAGGAUGAAAGGCAGUCUUGCAGGAAGGAUGGGGUGAAAGCUGCAAACCUUGGAGCAUUACACAACACAUCCCCCUCUUUUCGAAAGAUUGGCCAUUACUGAACUCGACUUCUGGUUGACCUCGAUUUCUCCAACAAAAAACCAUGUCCUGUCUCUAACUCUCUAUUACCAGAUAUUCAUAUUCUGUCCCAUUUUUUAAACAAUACACUUCAAAUUUUAGGUUUUUUCCUUGCCAACAGUUUUACCAAUGUAAUUAGCAAAAAGGAUGAUCUGAUUUUAAAGAACAUGAAUAUUGAAGGAAUUUCUGUUCUUAUUUAAAUUAGAAAGCAGCAGUUUAACAUUUGAAGUUAAAUUCUUGGAUUUAUUUAAAGCUCUAUUAUUAACUUAUUCUUCAAAGUUUUAUUAUAUGUAAUUAAUAUAGUAUAAAACAAUACUGUCUAAAAGAUUCUACCAUGUGUUUUUCAGGUGUACAAACUGCUGCCUUAUAGCUUUCAAUUCUUUGUGCUAGGAUUGUUUUGAAAAUUAAUUUUAACUGAAAAAUAAAAAUUUAGAGCCCUGACAUUGGACUGGGUUUUCAAAAAUAUCAAAAACUCUUCCAACAUAGAUGUCCUAGGCAGUUCAACUAUUUUUCUUUCCAAAUAUUUAUUGGUCUAAAUAUUAAUAUAAAAUAUUAAUGAAAAAAUAACUAAAAUGCACCCGGUCUUUACCACUGAACAUUCUAGGGAGUUCUCUGGUGUCCUACUAUCAUAAAGAAGAAACAUUCUAGUCACAAAAUUUAAAAAUUCAUGAAUGUUUUUAAAAACUGAAGUAUUAAAUUGGUGAAUAGAAUAAGAAUCAGUAAUGUUUGCAA